CCUACGGGAGGCAGCAGUGAGGAAUAUUGGUCAAUGGACGAGAGUCUGAACCAGCCAAGUAGCGUGAAGGAUGACUGCCCUAUGGGUUGUAAACUUCGUUUAUAUGGGAAUAAAACAUUCCACGUGUGGGAUUUUGUAUGUACCAUAUGAAUAAGGAUCGGCUAACUCCGUGCCAGCAGCCGCGGUAAUACGGAGGAUACGAGCGUUAUCCGGAUUUAUUGGGUUUAAAGGGAGCGUAGGUGGAGUGUUAAGUCAGUUGUGAAAGUUUGCGGCUCAACCGUAAAAUUGCAGUUGAAACUGGCAGUCUUGAGUACAGGAGAGGUGGGCGGAAUUCGUGGUGUAGCGGUGAAAUGCUUAGAUAUCACGAAGAACUCCGAUUGCGAAGGCAGUUCACUGGACUGCAACUGACACUGAGGCUCGAAAGUGUGGGUAUCAAACAGGAUUAGAUACCCGAGUAGUC
rnacentral:rRNA from 1 species